UGCUGUGUGCCCUGAUUAGUGUUGCCACCCGUACGGGAAUGACCCGGACAGUCCGGGUUUGUAAUCCUGUACCCGGGUACAAGCCUUUCUCAGACCCUGGCACAGGAUUCAUUUCAAACUGCAGACU